rnacentral:lncRNA from 1 species
CUGGGACUUAUAUUUCUGCAAAGCUGACCUUCACGUAAACGAGGCAGAACAGCAGCAGGCGAAACGAGCUGUCCCCCUACAGCAGCUGGAACGGCAACAGGGGAUGUCACUCUUGCGACCACAGUUGGAGCGCCAGCGGGGUUUCGAACGACCUGUUCACCGACAAGUGCCGGUCGAUUUGUAGCAGCCGCCACUUGCUGUGGAGAAACGACGGCAAUGGGGGGCGCUGAAGGGGUAGCUACCACCGUGGGAGACGCUGCAAGAGGCACAAGCUGACCGGCCGGCAUCUGAACAGUCGGAGCAAUCACGGGGACUUGCUGGGCCUUCCUGUUCAUAUUUAUGUUUUCUAGUGGACCCACAGCAUUCGCGAUCCCGUCGAACAGCGACGAAAUCCUCUUCGCAAGAGUGCCGGGUGGUGGCGGAGGUCGUGGAGUCAACAAGUCAAAUGGGGAUCCAGAAUACUGCGGCGUAGAGGUUGGAUACAUAUACUGUUGGCCUUCGAGAGUGGCAGCUGUGUCAGUAGAAACAGUGUCGGACUGAUUGCCGGGUUCGUCACUUUGCUUUGGUCGUGUGGGCGGUGUUGCAAUGGCAGCGGCAGACUCAAAAUUGCCUGUGUUCCCCGGGUAGGCCUGUCCCUCAAAAUCACCGGAUAAACGUAUCUUUUCUCCGGGGGAAUUCGAAUCGGAACCUGCCCGGGAGAGACGCCGGGCAAAACUCGUGGAGUCGGAAAAGUCAUCGUCUCCUUCAGUGGUUUGCUUUUUCAUGGAACGUGUUAGUGUUGUUAGAAUCGCCUCAGAACCGCGUUCUGUGGAGACAUGUUUUGACCCAAAUUCUACUACAGAAAUCCUGUCCUUCUCAAAAGUCCUAUUCGCGUUUUCAAAAGAAAGACGGCGAGGAUACACAGCAGGGGGCAGGCCAUUGUAACCGGGCCAAAUAACCCCAUUCUGAUUCAUGAUAGUUCCGGAAUUCGGC